ensembl:lncRNA
UGGUAAUUUGGGACAGUAUGUUUGGUAAUUUGGGACACAGACUCAUGGGUGUAGAUUAAUGUAUUGAACAAUAAUUAAACAUUUAAAAAAACAUUGUAAUGGUCAACCAUAAAUAUAUCUUGAAGGUUGUGCAUUAUGUGUACAUUAUCAUGAUAAUGUAUGAGCAUAUUGGUAACCUCGACCGGUUAAGCAAAAAAGGCAGGAAAGUCAUUGGCUAGCCUUGUUAGGUGCUGACUAAGACUGUAGAUGAGCCAUUAAGUGUUUGAAGUGUUACAGGCCAAAAUAGAAAAGAAUAGUACUUUUUUUUUUUUUACUGAUUUUGUUCACCAAAAUAUAUGCAUAAAUACUUUUUUUUUUUUUUUUUUAAACUGAUUUUGUUUAUCAAUAUACAUGCAUUAAUACUUUUUUUUUAACUGAUUUAAGUGUUACAGGCCAAAAUAGAAAAAAAUAGUAAGAGCAUAUUGGUAACUUUGACCGGUUAAGCAAAAAAGGCAGGAAAGUCAUUGGCUAGCCUUGUUAGGUGCUGACUAAGACUGUAGAUGAGCCAUUAAGUGUUUGAAGUGUUACAGGCCAAAAUAGAAAAAAAUAGUACUUUUUUUUUUUUUUACUGAUUUUGUUUAUUAAUACACAUGCAUAAAUACUUUUUUUUUUUUUUUUUUACUGAUUUAAGUGUUACAGGCCAAAAGAGAAAAAAUUUGUAUGAGCAUAUUGGUAACCUCGACCGGUUAAGCAAAAAAGGCAGGAAAGUCAUUGGCUAGCCUUGUUAGGUGCUGACUAAGAUUGUAGAUGAGCCAUUAAGUGUUUGAAGUGUUACAGGCCAAAAUAGAAAAAAAUAGUACUUUUUUUUUUUUUUUACUGAUUUUGUUUAUUAAUACACAUGCAUAAAUACUUUUUUUUUUUUUUUUUUUUUUUUUACUGAUUUAAGUGUUACAGGCCAAAAGAGAAAAAAAUUGUAUGAGCAUAUUGGUAACCUCGACCGGUUAAGCAAAAAAGGCAGGAAAGUCAUUGGCUAGCCUUGUUAGAUACUGACUAAGACUGUAGAUGAGCCAUUAAGUGUUUGAAGUGUUACAGGCCAAAAUAGAAAAAAAUUGUACUUUUUUUUUUUUUUUUACUGAUUUUGUUUAUCAAUAUACAUGCAUAAAUACUUUUUUUUUUUUAACUGAUUUUGUUUAUCAAUAUACAUGCAUUAAUACUUUUUUUUUUUUAACUGAUUUUGUUCAUCAAUAUACAUGCAUAAAUACUUUUUUUUUUUUUUUUAAACUGAUUUUGUUUAUCAAUAUACAUGCAUUAAUACUUUUUUUUUUAAACUGAUUUAAGUGUUACAGGCCAAAAGAGAAAAAGAUUGUAUGAGCAUAUUGGUAACCUCGACCGGUUAAGCAAAAAAGCCAGGAAAGUCAUUGGCGAGACUUGUUAGGUGCUGACUAAGACUGUAGAUGAGCCAUUAAGUGCUUGAAGUGUUACAGGCCAAAAGAAAAAAAUAAUGUAUGAGCAUAUUGG